rnacentral:rRNA from 1 species
UACGUAGGGUGCAAGCGCUGUCCGGAAUUAUUGGGCGUAAAGAGCUCGUAGGCGGUUUGUUGCGUCGGCUGUGAAAUCCCGAGGCUCAACCUCGGGUCUGCAGUCGAUACGAGCAAACUAGAGUGUUGCAGGGGAGACUGGAAUUCCUGGUGUAGCGGUGAAAUGCGCAGAUAUCAGGAGGAACACCGGUGGCGAAGGCAGGUCUCUGGGCAACAACUGACGCUGAGGAGCGAAAAGCGUGGGGGAGCGAAACAGG